rnacentral:rRNA from 1 species
GCUUCCGGCCACACCUCCCCUGAGCACGCCCGAUCUCGUCUGAUCUCGGAAGCUAAGCAGGGUCGGGCCCGGUUAGUACUUGGAUGGGAGACCGCCUGGGAAUACCAGGUGCUGUAAGCC